rnacentral:pre_miRNA from 1 species
GGAAGUUAAGAAAUUGUUUCUUAACUUUUAACUAAAAAAAUUAAGAAUCGGUUCUUAAAUAAAGACUUUAAGAACUGGUUUUUAGCUUUUUUAGUUAAAAGUUAAGAAACAGUUUCUUAACUUCC